rnacentral:ncRNA from 2 species
GGUCAAGAGCAGCGGCCCCAAACCCUUGGAGUGGUCGCUCGGCAACCGGUCCCGCGCCGGUGCCUUCCAAGGAAGACCUGACCGGGCAGCAGCCGCUGUCAGGUAAUGGCGGGCC